UACGUAGGGCGCAAGCGUUGUCCGGAAUUAUUGGGCGUAAAGAGCUCGUAGGCGGUCUGUCGCGUCGAUCGUGAAAACUUGGGGCUUAACCCUGAGCUUGCGGUCGAUACGGGCAUGACUGGAGUUCGGCAGGGGAGACUGGAAUUCCUGGUGUAGCGGUGAAAUGCGCAGAUAUCAGGAGGAACACCGGUGGCGAAGGCGGGUCUCUGGGCCGAUACUGACGCUGAGGAGCGAAAGCGUGGGGAGCGAACAGG
rnacentral:rRNA from 1 species